UGGGGAAUAUUGGACAAUGGGCGAAAGCCUGAUCCAGCAAUGCCGCGUGAGUGAUGAAGGCCUUAGGGUUGUAAAGCUCUUUUUACCAGGGAUGAUAAUGACAGUACCUGGAGAAUAAGCUCCGGCUAACUCCGUGCCAGCAGCCGCGGUAAUACGGAGGGAGCUAGCGUUGUUCGGAAUUACUGGGCGUAAAGCGUACGUAGGCGGUGACUCAAGUCAGAGGUGAAAGCCUGGAGCUCAACUCCAGAACUGCCUUUGAAACUAGGUCGCUAGAAUCACGGAGAGGUGAGUGGAAUUCCGAGUGUAGAGGUGAAAUUCGUAGAUAUUCGGAAGAACACCAGUGGCGAAGGCGGCUCACUGGACGUGUAUUGACGCUGAGGUACGAAAGCGUGGGGAGCAAGCAGGAUUAGAUACCCCCGUAGUCCCUGAGCGGGCUGGCAAGGCGCAU
rnacentral:rRNA from 1 species